rnacentral:rRNA from 1 species
AGAGUUUGAUCAUGGCUCAGAACGAACGUUAGCGGUGUGGAUUAGGCAUGCAAGUCGUGCGCGAAAGCCUUAGGGCGAGUAAAGCGGCGAAAGGGUGAGUAACACGUAACCAACGUACCCCGAAGACUGGAAUAACCACUGGAAACGGUGGGCAAUGCCAGAUGGUCCUGCAAGUGGACAUCCACUAUUAGGUAAACGGCGGCGUAAGCUGCUGCUUUGGGAGCGGGUUGCGGCCUAUCAGCUUGUUGGUGAGGUAAUGGCUCACCAAGGCAUCGACGGGUAGCGGGUCUGAGAGGAUGAUCCGUCACACUGGGACUGAGACACUGCCCAGACUCCUACGGGAGGCUGCAGUCGAGAAUCUUCCGCAAUGGGCGAAAGCCUGACGGAGCGACACCGCGUGCAGGAUGACGGCUCUAGGGUUGUAAACUGCUGUCACGCCAUAGGAAUGCCAUGGUGUUAAUAGCGCUAUGGUUGACUAAAGCGAGAGGAAGAGCCGGCUAACUCCGUGCCAGCAGCCGCGGUAAGACGGAGGGCUCAAACGUUGUUCGGAAUCACUGGGCAUAAAGCGCACGUAGGCGGCCUAUUAAGUCGGUUGUGAAAUCCCUCGGCUCAACCGGGGAACUGCAUUCGAUACUGAUAGGCUAGAGGACGGAAGGGGCGAGUGGAACUCCAGGUGGAACGGUGAAAUGUGUAGAUAUCUGGAGGAACACCGGUGGCGAAAGCGACUCGCUGGUCCGUAUCAGACGCUGAGGUGCGAAAGCUAGGGUAGCAAACGGGAUUAGAUACCCCGGUAGUCCUAGCCGUAAACGAUGGGCACUAGGUAGUGGGUGGGCCUGUACUACUCACUGCCGUAGCUAAUGUGUUAAGUGCCCCGCCUGGGGAGUACGCUCGCAAGGGUAAAACUCAAAGGAAUUGACGGGGGAUCACACAAGCAGUGGAGCAUGUGGUUUAAUUCGAUGAUACGCGAAGAACCUUACCUGGUCUUGACAUGUGCGGAUUAGCUCUGUGAAAGCAGAGUGACGACCCUUCGGGGUUGGAACGUACACAGGUGUUGCAUGGCUGUCGUCAGCUCGUGCCGUGAGGUGUUGGGUUAAGUCCCGUAACGAGCGAAACCCUUGUUGUUAGUUGCCAGCGGGUAAUGCCGGGGACUCUAGCGAGACUGCCGUUGUCAAAACGGAGGAAGGUGGGGACGACGUCAAGUCAUCAUGGCCCUUAUGACCAGGGCGACACACGUGCUACAAUGGUCGAUACAAAGGGUUCCGAGACCGCGAGGUGGAGGCAAUCCCAGAAAGUCGGCCCCAGUUCGGAUUGUAGGCUGCAAUUCGCCUACAUGAAGCCGGAAUUGCUAGUAAUCGCGUAUCAGCCAUGACGCGGUGAAUAUGUUCCUGAUCCUUGUACACACCGCCCGUCAAGCCACGGGAGCGGGGAGCGCUCGAAGUCGCUAUGUCUAACCUUCGGGAGGACGGCGCCGAAAGCGAGCUCCGUGACUGGGACUAAGUCGUAACAAGGUA